rnacentral:rRNA from 1 species
AACGAACGCUGGCGGCAUGCCUAACACAUGCAAGUCGAACGAGAUCUUCGGGUCUAGUGGCGCACGGGUGCGUAACGCGUGGGAAUCUGCCCUUUGGUUCGGAAUAACAGUUGGAAACGACUGCUAAUACCGGAUGAUGACGAAAGCCCAAAGAUUUAUCGCCAGAGGAUGAGCCCGCGUAGGAUUAGCUAGUUGGUGUGGUAAAGGCGCACCAAGGCGACGAUCCUUAGCUGGUCUGAGAGGAUGAUCAGCCACACUGGGACUGAGACACGGCCCAGACUCGUACGGGAGGCAGCAGUGGUGAAUAUUGGACAAUGGGCGAAAGCCUGAUCCAGCAAUGCCGCGUGAGUGAUGAAGGCCUUAGGGUUGUAAAGCUCUUUUACCCGGGAUGAUAAUGACAGUACCGGGAGAAUAAGCUCCGGCUAACUCCGUGCCAGCCGCCGCGGUAA